UACGUAGGGUGCAAGCGUUAAUCGGAAUUACUGGGCGUAAAGCGUGCGCAGGCGGUUUUGUAAGACCGAUGUGAAAAUCCCCGGGGCUUAACCUGGGAACUGCAUUGGUGACUGCAAGGCUUGAGUGUGUCAGAGGGAGGUGGAAUUCCGCGUGUAGCAGUGAAAUGCGUAGAUAUGCGGAGGAACACCGAUGGCGAAGGCAGCCUCCUGGGAUAACACUGACGCUCAUGCACGAAAGCGUGGGGAGCAAACAGG
rnacentral:rRNA from 1 species